AUCCCAGACGAGAUUGAGGGGUUUCCUUCCCGUGCUCGUCUGAUUCAUGGGAGGCCCAGAUGAAAUGGCCUUUGGGAGCUUCGCUGAUGACGCCCAUUAAGCUCAUCUUGGGGCGUUUGAUAGUAGCUUUCCCAUACAUGA